rnacentral:rRNA from 1 species
GGAGUUAGCCGGUGCUUCUUCUGUGAGUGAUGUCCUUCCUGCCGGCUAUUAACCCGCAGGCCUUCUUCCUCACUGAAAGUGCUUUACAACCCGAAGGCCUUCUUCACACACGCGGCAUGGCUGGAUCAGGGUUGCCCCCAUUGUCCAAUAUUCCCCACUGCUGCCUCCCGUAGGAGUCUGGGCCGUGUCUCAGUCCCAGUGUGGCUGAUCAUCCUCUCAGACCAGCUACGGAUCGUCGCCUUGGUGAGCCGUUACCUCACCAACCAGCUAAUCCGACAUAGGCUCAUCCGAUAGCGCGAGGCCCGAAGGUCCCCCGNUUUCCCCCGUAGGGCGUAUGCGGUAUUAGCCUGGGUUUCCCCCAGGUUAUCCCCCACUACCGGGCAGGAUUCCUAUGCAUUACUCACCCGUCCGCCGCUCGCCACCAGGGAGCAAGCUCCCCGUGCUGCCGNUCGACUUGCAUGUGUAGCNGCGCCAGCGUCAUCUGAGCAGAGUACAACUCUGA